CUACGGAGGGGGCAAGCGUUGUUCGGAAUUAUUGGGCGUAAAGGGCACGCAGGCGGCUAGGCAAGUUGGUGGUGAAAGCCCUCGGCUCAACCGAGGAAUUGCCCCCAAAACUGCCUAGCUUGAGUCCCGGAGAGGGUGACGGAAUUCCCAGUGUAGCGGUGAAAUGCGUAGAUACUGGGAGGAACACCAGUGGCGAAGGCGGCUCACUGGCUCGUAACUGACGCUGAGGCGCGAAAGCGUGGGGAGCAAACAGGAUUAGAAACCCCAGUAGUCC
rnacentral:rRNA from 1 species